rnacentral:tRNA from 1 species
GUCCGUAUAGAUUAUUUAAAAUCAUAAUGCUGUUAACUUUAAGAAGAGGUUUAUCCUCUACGGUCG